GAUGAACGCUGACAGAAUGCUUAACACAUGCAAGUCUUUGGCGAAUCUGUGCUUGCACAGGCUAGCCAAGGCGGACGGGUGAGUAACGCGUAAAGAACUUGCCCUGCAGACAGGGAUAACAGACGGAAACGACUGAUAACACCUGAUACAGUUGCCGGCACGCAUGUGCCUGGCAAUUAAAAGAGAUGCUGCAGGAGAGCUUUGCGUCCUAUUAGCUUGUUGGUGAGGUGACGGCUCACCAAGGCGAUGAUAGGUAGCCGGCCUGAGAGGGUGAACGGCCACAAGGGGACUGAGAUACGGCCCUUACUCCUACGGGAGGCAGCAGUGGGGAAUAUUGGACAAUGGGGGCAACCCUGAUCCAGCAAUUCUGUGUGCACGAAGAAGGUUUUCGGAUUGUAAAGUGCUUUCAGCAGGGAAGAAGAAAGUGACGGUACCUGCAGAAGAAGCGACGGCUAAAUACGUG
rnacentral:rRNA from 1 species